rnacentral:rRNA from 1 species
AACGACUCUCGGCAACGGAUAUCUCGGCUCUCGCAUCGAUGAAGAACGUAGCGAAAUGCGAUACUUGGUGUGAAUUGCAGAAUCCCGUGAACCAUCGAGUCUUUGAACGCAAGUUGCGCCCCAAGCCUUCUGGUCGAGGGCACGUCUGCCUGGGUGUCACAAAU